rnacentral:rRNA from 1 species
AUUGAACGCUGGCGGCAUGCCUUACACAUGCAAGUCGAACGGCAGCACGGGUGCUUGCACCUGGUGGCGAGUGGCGAACGGGUGAGUAAUACAUCGGAACAUGUCCUGUAGUGGGGGAUAGCCUGGCGAAAGCCGGAUUAAUACCGCAUACGAUCUACGGAUGAAAGCGGGGGACCUUCGGGCCCCGCGCUGUUGGGUUGGCCGAUGGCUGAUUAGCUAGUUGGUGGGGUAAAGGCCUACCAAGGCGGCGAUCAGUAGCUGGUCUGAGAGGACGACCAGCCACACUGGGACGUAGACACGGCCCAGACUCCUACGGGAGGCAGCAGUGGGGAAUUUUGGACAAUGGGGGAAAGCCUGAUCCAGCAAUGCGGCGUGUGUGAAGAAGGCCUUCGGGUUGUAAAGAACUUUUGUCCGGAAAGAAAUCCUUGGCCCUAAUACGGUCGGGGGAUGACGGUACCGGAAGAAUAAGCACCGGCUAACUACGUG